AGGAUGAACGCUGGCGGUCUGCUUAACACAUGCAAGUCGAACGGAGUAGCAAUACUUAGUGGCGGACGGGUGAGUAACGCGUGAGAAUCUACCUUCAGGACGGAGACAACAGUUGGAAACGACUGCUAACCCCCGAUGUACCGAAAGGGCAAAUAUUUAUAGCCUGAAGAAGAGCUCGCGUCCGAUUAGCUAGUUGGAGAGGUAAAAGCUCACCAAGGCGACGAUCGGUAGCUGGUCUGAGAGGACGAUCAGCCACACUGGGACUGAGACACGGCCCAGACUCCUACGGGAGGCAGCAGUGGGGAAUUUUCCGCAAUGGGCGAAAGCCUGACGGAGCAAGACCGCGUGGGGGAAGAAGGCUCUUGGGUUGUAAACCGCUUUCAGAAGGAACGAAAUGACGGUACUUUCAGAAGAAGGUGCGGCCAACUACGCGCCAGCAGCCGC
rnacentral:rRNA from 1 species